AUCUUCAAUUUUUUAGAAAAUUUAAAAAUUAUUUGAUAAUUCAUUUCAUUAAUUCAAAUUGAUGAAUAAUCAUAAAUUCAUUUUAUACAUUGAUUUGAAUUAAUGAAACGAAGUAUCAAAUAGUUUUCAAAAUUUUUAAAAAUUUAUAGAU
rnacentral:miRNA from 1 species